CGAAGGCGCGCCUAUUCAUUCAAUUUCCACUUUCUAUCUUCAAAAUUCCAUUUUUCUCUCUUCAAACAAAUCAAACCUCUGUAACUCAAAAAUCACACCAUUGUUCAUCACUAAGUUCCGAUUUAGGGUUCUGUAUUAGAAACAAGAAGAGCAAAACCAAGUAUGUGAUUUAGGGUUCUAUUCUUUAACCUCUGUUGAGAUCCUAUUGAUAUAUGAUAGAAAAGACCUCUCUCUAUAUUUAACUAAGGAGGGCUCGGCUAGAGAGCAAGAGAGGAAACCUAGAGGAAGAGGAAGUGAGGGCUCAACGAAGUCAUACAAGAAGAUCAGUUCCACCGGAUUGUCAAAGCUUUGGAGGUUCCGAGAUCUAUACACCAACAACGACAAGUUCAUGUUGUUGAAGGGGAUGGGUAUUCUCUUUAUUGAAAAAGAGGAAAAAGGGGUCCUAUGAUGGAGGAUCGAUAUUCAGCCCUUGUCGAUGUUCAAGGAGAUUCCAAUAGGGUAUAAGAGUCCAUUGUGGGAGGAUGUCUAACUUAUGAUGAUGUUUACAAGGAGGUGAACCCCAAAAGGUGACUACCAGGAAGGUGUUACAAGGUUCAAUGCUUGGACCAAAUAUAACGCUUGAGAGCAGUCGAUUUAAUGAUACAUGAUCAAAGAAAGUUUAAAACCUUCUGUGGCCUACUUGAUGAUUUAAAGAAACCAGGGAUUUUGAUGCAUUAGAAUUAAUGAGUAGUCUGUAGUUAUGUUUAGUUAUAGCGUAUUUGGAUCAUAUUAUUA